CCGAGUUCAUGCCCUUACGGGUAGAUCUCCCACCCUUUGUAUACUAUACCUUUGUUGCUUUGGCGGGCCGCCUAGCUACUGGCUUCGGCUGGUAUGUGCCCGCCAGAGGACCCAAAACCCUGAAUUAUUAGUGUCGUCUGAGUACUAUUAUAAAUAGUUA
rnacentral:misc_RNA from 1 species